GAUGAACGCUGGCGGCGUGCCUAAUACAUGCAAGUCGAGCGAACAGAUGAUGAGCUUUCUCCUCUGACGUUAGCGGCUGACGGGUGAGUAACACGUGGAUAACCUUCCUAUUUUACUUGGAUAACUUCGUGAAACCGGAUCUAAUACCUGAUCAUAUAUUGAACCGCAUGGUUCAAUAGUUAUAGACGGUUUUGCUGUCACUUAUAGAUGGAUCCGCGCCGCAUUAGCUAGUUGGUAAGGUAACGGCUUACCAAGGCAACGAUGCGUAGCCGACCUGAGAGGGUGAUCGGCCACACUGGAACUGAGACACGGUCCAGACUCCUACGGGAGGCAGCAGUAGGGAAUCUUCCGCAAUGGGCGAAAGCCUGACGGAGCAACGCCGCGUGAGUGAUGAAGGUCUUCGGAUCGUAAAACUCUGUUAUUAGGGAAGAACAAAUGUGUAAGUAACUAUGCACGUCUUGACGGUACCUAAUCAGAAAGCAACGGCUAACUACGUG
rnacentral:rRNA from 1 species